CGUAGGUGGCAAGCGUUGUCCGGAAUUAUUGGGCGUAAAGCGCGCGCAGGCGGUUCCUUAAGUCUGAUGUGAAAGCCCCCCGGCUCAACCGGGGAAGGUCAUUGGAAACUGGGGAACUUGAGUGCAGAAGAGAAGAGCGGAAUUCCACGUGUAGCGGUGAAAUGCGUAGAGAUGUGGAGGAACACCAGUGGCGAAGGCGGCUCUUUGGUCUGUAACUGACGCUGAGGCGCGAAAGCGUGGGGAGCAAACAGGAUUAGAUACCCUGGUAGUCCACGCCGUAAACGAUGAGUGCUAAGUGUUAGAGGGUUUCCGCCCUUUAGUGCUGCAGCUAACGCAUUAAGCACUCCGCCUGGGGAGUACGGCCGCAAGGCUG
rnacentral:rRNA from 1 species